CUUCCUUGUUCACAAGGCCAUUUGUCCAGCAUGAGGAUGACCAGUGACAGAAGCUGGCUGACAUCACGACGGCAACUAUCUGAAUCAUUCUGUCUACUUGGUGCCUCUUCCAGAAUGGAUGUUCUCUAAUGGGUGAUACCUAUAAUUCCACGGAGUCUGCCCAGUCAUGUGGCUCACACAGCCGAGCUGCCAGCACAGCAACCUGGACCUGCUGCAGGGCUCUUUCUCACAAAGGAUCCUGAUGGUUAGCAAGGAUGUAACGGCGUCUCCUACAGCCACACCUGGUCUACAGAUGACAUCCCACUGAGCUCCUCCCUGAUGCUGGUAUCUCCUCACUAGCACAUCCCUCAUUGCUUUGGUAAAUGCCUGUUGUCCAGGCCCUUCUGUGGAACAGAGCCAGUGGGAACAGGAAGUCUACAUUGCAGACACCUUUUGAAUCCAUCCACUUCUCCCCAUCCCUGCAGCCCCGCCAUGCUGCAGACCACCAACAUCUGUCUUCAAGAAGACUCAACAGCUUCUCGUGGUCUCCCUGCCUUCUUCACACCUCCUCCAACCCAUUCUGCAUCCAUAGACAGCAUGCUCUUUCUAAAUACACAUCUGAUCAUCUCACUCCAUGCAAAGAACCCUUUGAUGUUCCUCCAUUUCUCUGAGGAUGAAGACUGUACUUCUGAGGCUUGAAGGGAAGGAGCAGUAUUCAUAGUACUGAGCAAUCAGAAAGGCCUGGGCAUUCACCCAUCGGAAGAGAUGCAGGGAAACAACCACGAAGGCCAAGCAUUGAGGAUUAGCUGAAGAUCAGCCAGAGUGCAAGGCCAGGACCAGGUGCUGUCUUGAAUUACUUUCUGUAGCCACAACUGCCUCUCCCCUAACCUUACACUCUGUCCUCCAGCCCACUCACUCUCUCACUUCAAUGCGUUUGCUUUGCUAUCAGCUUUUCUGUUGUCCCCUCACCACCCAGCAGAGAUAUGGGCACAAAAUAGGUGUUUUAAAAAUAUGUAUUAGAUUUGAAAGAAAGCCAGCGAAUGCAGCAGCCCCAGGGGUCCAUCAGGAGAGCAGCCGCAGCCACAGCAGUAAGGCUCCCUGCAUAUCAGCCAGGCAUGUGAGCUAGAUCUGACAAAUGCAGCAUCGGAAACACAGUCGCAUGUGAGGAGGGUGCUGACAGUUCCUAAGCCAAGUGCUGAACAAAUGCUGUUCCACAGCCAUUGAAUAUUUCAGUAUAACUCUGCUGCAAGAAUUACAGCUCCGGAUUUCAGCUGUUCCCAGGAGGGCUGGGAGCAGAGAGUAUGCCAGCAGGAAAAUCCCUGUGAGAAUCCACAGAUAUGUUUGUUGCAGAGUUUGUGUGUAUCUAGAGCCUUCUCAUCUUUCUCCCACAAAUGCUGGCAGGCACCGUGCUGGGAACUGGGGGACAAAGAUGAAGACAGGCCUCAGCUUUUGAAGCUCUCACAUUCUAGUGGGAAAAUCAGACUAGCAAGCAGGCAUGCUGAGGGGUCAAGAGAGGUUGGCCAGGCUGGGAUAAGAACCCACAGAUGGAAGACCCAACCAAGAGGAAGCUUAUCAGGGAAGCUUCUGGGAGAAGGGGCAUCAUGGCUAAGUCCUCAAGGAUGAAUAAGAGUUUGCAAAGUGGUGUUGAGGGAAAGGACUGGGAGGCAUUUCAGGCAUCAGGAGAAGUAUCUCCAAAGGAGAAGUCUCCAAAGGUCUGGAGACAAGAGAGCACUGGGGUACUGAGAACUCUGCAGGGAGUUCAACAAGGCCAAAGCCAAGGGCCAGAAGAUAGGCUCUAGAUGUUGAGAUCAGAAGUCUGGACAUUGCCCUGAGGUUUCAAGAGGGCAAUGUGCAGACAGAUCACAGAGGGGUUCAAAGCCAGAACUAGACCUUGAACCUAUGUGUCUGCAACUGUUUCUUGUCUUGUCUCCAAGACGGCAGCUCAGCUCCUCCCUUCCCUGCGUAUACAUGGUGUUUCCCUAAAGAAAGGAGGAAUUUCUAUACCUAUUGAAUCUAGGUGGCCUGUGGCUUCUCUGACCAAUGGAAUUAAGUGGAAGUGAAGCCCUGCCAGAUCUAGGCCUAAUCUUUCAGAGAACUGGAAGUUUCCACUUCUCUUUCUUGGUAUACAAGCUUGGAGGGAAGCUAACCACCACGUAAGAAGUCUGACUACUCUGAGACUGCCAUGCUGUGAGGAAGCCCAAGCUAGCCACACACAGAGGCCUUGUGGGAAGAGUACCAAACAUAAGUGAAAGAGCCAUCUUGGACAUUCCAGCCCCAGCAAAUCUCACAGAGGCCCUAGACAGUGGGCUCAGUUUGUCACAGGCAUCUCCAGCUGGAGCCCCAGACAUGGAAAAGAGACAAGGCAUUCCUACUCUGCCCUGGCAGAAUUCCUGACCCAAAGUAUUAAGAGAAUAAUAAAAAAGAUGUGG
rnacentral:lncRNA from 1 species